rnacentral:rRNA from 1 species
UACGUAGGGCGCAAGCGUUGUCCGGAAUUAUUGGGCGUAAAGAGCUCGUAGGCGGUUUGUCGCGUCUGCUGUGAAAACCUAAGGCUCAACCUUGGGCUUGCAGUGGGUACGGGCAGACUAGAGUGCGGUAGGGGGAGAAUGGAAUUCCUGGUGUAGCGGUGGAAUGCGCAGAUAUCAGGAGGAACACCGAUGGCGAAGGCAGUUCUCUGGGCCGUAACUGACGCUGAGGAGCGAAAGCGUGGGGAGCGAACAGG